rnacentral:rRNA from 1 species
UACAGAGGUGGCAAGCGUUGUUCGCAAUUACUGGGCGUAAAGGGCGCGUAGGCGGCCUUCUAAGUCGGACGUGAAAUCCCCAGGCUUAACUUGGGAACUGCGUCUGAUACUGGAAGGCUUGAGUGCGGGAGAGGGAUGUGGAAUUCCAGGUGUAGCGGUGAAAUGCGUAGAUAUCUGGAGGAACACCGGUGGUGAAGGCGGCAUCCUGGACCGACACUGACGCUGAGGCGCGAAAGCCAGGGGAGCAAACGGG